rnacentral:rRNA from 1 species
UACUGAGGGGACUAGCGUUGUUCGGAAUUACUGGGCGUAAAGCGCACGUAGGCGGAUUUGUAAGUCAGGGGCGAAAUCCCGGGGCUCAACCUCGGAACUGCCUAUGAUACUGCAAAUCUCGAGUCCGGAAGAGGUGAGUGGAAUGCCUAGUGUAGAGGUGAAAUUCGUAGAUAUUAGGAAGAACACCAGUGGCGAAGGCGGCUCACUGGACCGGUACUGACGCUGAGGUGCGAAAGCGUGGGGAGCUAACAGG